GUGGGAUAAGGGAACUUCAAGUGCUCAUGUUUUCGCAUAGGGCUUUUGCCAAGGGUAAAUAGCUGGGGAGAAUAAGAGGGGGGUAAGACUGGUGCCAGCAGCCGCGGUAACACCAGCGCCACGAGUCCCAAUCAGUUUUAUUUGGCCUAAAACGUCCGUAGCUGGCUAGAUAAGUCCUUUGUGAAAUCAUCAGGCUCAACCUGACGGCGUGCGGAGGAUAUUGUUUAGCUUGAGACCGGGGGGAGUUAGAGGUAUUUCAGGGGGGAGCGGUAAAAUGCUAUAAUCCCUGGAGGACCACCUGUGGGGGAAGGCGUCUAAUUAGAACGGUUCUGACAGUGAGGGACGAAAGCCAGGGGAGCGAUCCGGAUUAGAUACCCGAGUAGUCCUGGGGGUAAACGCUGUGAGCAAGGGGUUGCAUAUUUUUCGGGAAUGUGCAGUGUCGAAACGAAGGUGUUAAGCUCACUGCCUGGGAAGUACGGUCGCAAGACUGAAACUUAAAGGAAUU
rnacentral:rRNA from 1 species